rnacentral:lncRNA from 1 species
GAAAGGGAUAAAUCCUUUUGGUUGAUAAAAUAUCAAGAAAAGAAGUUCACAUCUCACAAGUGUCAAUGCAGAUGGAUUUGUGCAUACUCACACGCACACCAUGAAAGAACGUGAACACUUUUACACAGAGAGUCUUUUGGCCAAAGGCAAGGGGAGGUCGCAAUUUAUAUAUUUCAGUCCAAAAGUCCACAUGGCCCAAGGGAAAAACGUCCUGGGAAUGAGUCAUCUGUUCUGCUUGGCAGUUAGACUGCUGAAGUUGCAACAGCUGGAACGUAUGCCUGCUUUGCAGGAUCUCCCUGUAUCUCCACAGAGCCCUUUAGACUGUUCAUACUCCCUCACUCUCCUUGGGGAAAUCUUCUAGCAUCUGGUAGCUAGGACUAAACGUAAGUUAGAAAUAGAUGCUUUUCUCUGUUAUUUAGAGCCAGCCUUCUAGUUUUCUAGUUUGCUCUGGGCAUGUAAAGCAUGGUGGUGUAGGUAGUAGUAGAGGCGUACAUGUUUUUAAGGAAAAUGGGAGUGCUGAUAAAAGUUAAUGAGAUGCUAUGAAACAGAAACUAUUUAAUACCAGGAACCUUUGGUAAAGAUGCCGAAGCUACUUCUACUACAGAGGAAAGAAAUUCUAGGGAUACGUAAUAAUUUGUCUUCAAAUAUCUGAAAGGUUGGUAAGUGGGGACAAAAGAAAAAGAUGAUGGUGACUCUUAAGGUUCUAACAACUUCUAAGGAGUGGAAGAUAGUGAGGCUCAGCUUUUGGCUCCACCUAAAGAAGAGCAUAGGCGUUCCCUACUCUGGUUGAAGCAAAAGCAAACAGACUGCUCUUGUGAGGUGAAGCAGAGAAAACUAGACAAGGAGCUGAGACUGGGAUGGGACUUGGGAUAGGGAAAGCAAAUGGGUUCAAUUCCUGUGUCAACUAUGGUCAAGCUGUAAGGGCUGCCUGGAGCACUAUGGGCCUCUGACACUCUCCAAGCUUAUGAGGAAAUGCUGUGAUUGAUGAGAAUAGAUGUGCAUGCUGUAUAUUUUCUCUCCCUGGACGUCCCUUCAAAACCCUCUUCGCUCCUUAGAUUUGGUGAUGCUAAGGUGGUACUACUUGGUGCCCAACAUACGUACCCUGCCCUAUAAAUUCAAGCAACUUGAAUACACAUGACUUUCUUUGUCUACCACUCUUGUAGCUUGUUACUCGAGGGGAUAAGUGUGUAGUUGGAUUGGCUUGAUUGUAUUGAAAGCUUAUGAAAAUUGUACCCCCUGCUGAGGUAUGCGGUUAAUAAAAUUUCAAGGAGGCAUAGUGAUAUACUGGAACAUAAUUUGGCCUCUACCCCACCACUUCACUGAGGUUGCCUCCACCAAUGAUGCCAUGAAGACUGUUUUACCAAAACCAGAAUGCACUUGACAACUUUGGAAACACUUUUCUCUCUUGGCUCAUGUCAUGCUGCUUCCCUCUGCUUUUUUUCUACCUUACUAAUCGUUCCUUCUUGGUAUCUUUUACCCUGAUCCACAUGCCAGAGUCAGAUUCUCUUUAAGAAAUGAUAAAAAUAUAUCUACCCUUUUAUCUACUAUUCCUGUAGAUUUAAUUGCUACUCUUUUAUUGAUAAUUCUAACAUUUCUAAAUAUAGCCAUGAUCUUUAAUCCGACCAUUCUAUCUGACUACUUGCUUGAAAUCACUUCUUGGAUGGCUGACAGCUUUCUGAAAUUUACCAUUCAGUGUGGACUGUCAAUCCACCUCUCAUCUCUUUCCUCCUCUCUUAACCAUCCCAUUGUACAACCAGCCACCCAGUUAAUCAUCUAGAAAAUCUGAAGCUUACUGAUUCUUUUCCUUCUCCUACCUCCUGAACCCUUACCCAAUCUAUCAUCAUAAAUAUCUACAAACUACAUUUGGAGUGUUCUACUUCUUUCCAUUAUGCUGCUGCCACUCUGGACCAGACUACCAGUGUCUCUUACCUAAAUGAUUGCAAUAGCCUUCUAAAUAUUUGCCCGCUGAAUUCUAGUAUUCACAGAGUAGUAAGAGGACUCCUUUAUUCAUUUAGUGUUAAUUUAACAAACAUUUGAUUGAGUACAUGAAGGGCUUACUAAGAUCAGGCUGUUCAAGGCUCCCGGAAGCCAUCAGGGAACAAAACAAAGAUCCCUACCUUUGAAGAGUUUAUAUGUUCUUCCAUCUCCUAUGGAAGAUGGACUGCAAAUAAUCAACAUAAUAAAAAGCAAAUAUAUAAUGGGCUAGAUGAUAGCAAAUCCUGUGGAAAAAUUAAAAGUAAAGCUUGAUAAAGGGGCUAGGGAGUGCGGGGAAGUCAUGAUCCAGUAUUAAAUAGGUCAGGAUAGGUCUUGAGGGAGGACUCAAGAUGGCGCAGUGAGAACAACCCAGGAAUGAAGCUCUCGGUGAAUGCGCGGAGAGGGUGAAUCAGGGCCGCAUUUCCACAUGGAUCUUUGUUGCCCACAGAACGGGGAAAUUCCGAGGUAUAAAAGAGACACAGGACGCCAGGCAGAGGUUUUGGCUGGUGCAGCUGGCAGCCGGUGUGGCCAGCGGCCGGCGCUGUAGCACGGUGGCACUACACAGCACUCCGCACAAAGCGCACUGGUCUGGGUGCCCCAUUGAACCGGUUUCUGAGACUUGAGAGGGCUGAACUUGAGACUGAAUGGGACUUGGACAGUGAGCCAGCCCAGGAGAUUCCAAGAAAACAGCGUUUGGGGUAGCGCAGAGGGACAAACAAAAUGGAGAUUCCAAACACUCCAGGUGGGGACGUUCCCUUAGGGCACAGUUGAACCCAGUACGGUGCAGCUCCAUGGGGGAGGGUCGUCCAACAUUACCGAGGCAAUCCACCCCUACUGAGGUACACGCCCAUUGCUGACGCAGCCUGCCAUUGCCAAGGCAACCUGCUACAACAGAGAGACUCCGCCACAGGGCAUAGCCCAUGGCAGCAGGGCGGAGACCACAGCGGAAGGGCAGAGCCUGCAGCAACAGGGCGAACCUCACACCAGCAGGGCGGAGCCUCGGCAGGCAAAUAUUGACUAGACUGCCUCCUAGCUGGGCAGGACAGCACAAUGGACACUCACAAAGAAAGCCCCAACCCACCCGAGACAGAGCAUCUAAGAAAAAAAG